CAUGCAAGUCGAACGGAAAGGCCCUUCGGGGUACUCGAGUGGCGAACGGGUGAGUAACACGUGGGUGAUCUGCCCUGCACUUUGGGAUAAGCCUGGGAAACUGGGUCUAAUAUCGUAUACACCCUUCUGUUUUCAUGGUCUUGUUGGGGAAAGCUUUUGCGGUGUGGGAUGGGCCCGCGGCCUAUCAGCUUGUUGGUGAGGUUACGGCUCACCAAGGCGACGACGGGUAGCCGGCCUGAGAGGGUGACCGGCCACACUGGGACUGAGAUACGGCCCAGACUCCUACGGGAGGCAGCAGUGGGGAAUAUUGCACAAUGGGCGCAAGCCUGAUGCAGCGACGCCGCGUGAGGGAUGACGGCCUUCGGGUUGUAAACCUCUUUCGCCAGGGACGAAGCGCAAGUGACGGUACCUGGAGAAGAAGGACCGGCCAACUACGUGCAGCAGCCGCGGUAAUACGUAGGGUCCGAGCGUUGUCCGGAAUUACUGGGCGUAAAGAGCUCGUAGGUGG
rnacentral:rRNA from 1 species